rnacentral:rRNA from 1 species
GACGAACGCUGGCGGCGUGCUUAACACAUGCAAGUCGAACGGAAAGGCCUGCUUUCCCUUGUGGAUUGCGGGUACUCGAGUGGCGAACGGGUGAGUAACACGUGAGUGAUCUGCCCCCAACUUGGGUAUAAGCCUGGGAAACUGGGUCUAAUUCCCGAUAGGACUGCAGGGUGGUGCCUGUGGUGGAAGACGAUUUUCUAGUGGUUGGGGAUGAGCUCGCGGCCUAUCAGCUUGUUGGUGGGGUAAUGGCCUACCAAGGCGGCGACGGGUAGCCGGCCUGAGAGGGUGGACGGCCACAUUGGGACUGAGAUACGGCCCAGACUCCUACGGGAGGCAGCAGUGGGGAAUAUUGCACAAUGGGCGGAAGCCUGAUGCAGCGACGCCGCGUGGGGGAUGACGGCCUUCGGGUUGUAAACUCCUUUCGACCGCGAGGAAGCCACCUGGUUGGAAGGGUGGUGACGGUAGUGGUAGAAGAAGCACCGGCUAACUACGUG